rfam:Felis catus isolate Cinnamon breed Abyssinian chromosome B3, whole genome shotgun sequence.
GCCUGAGGGGCUCAGUCAGUUGAGCAUCUGACUUCGGCUCAGGUCAUGAUCUCACAGUUCCUGGGUUCAAGCCCUGCAUCAGGCU